rnacentral:rRNA from 1 species
UCCAGACUCCUACGGGAGGCAGCAGUGGGGAAUAUUGGACAAUGGGGGGAACCCUGAUCCAGCGACGCCGCGUGAGUGAAGAAGUAUUUCGGUAUGUAAAGCUCUAUCAGCAGGGAAGAAAGAAAUGACGGUACCUGACUAAGAAGCCCCGGCUAACUACGUGCCAGCAGCCGCGGUAAUACGUAGGGGGCAAGCGUUAUCCGGAUUUACUGGGUGUAAAGGGAGCGUAGACGGCGAUGCAAGUCUGAAGUGAAAGGCGGGGGCCCAACCCCCGGACUGCUUUGGAAACUGCGAGGCUGGAGUGUCGGAGAGGCAGGCGGAAUUCCUAGUGUAGCGGUGAAAUGCGUAGAUAUUAGGAGGAACACCAGUGGCGAAGGCGGCCUGCUGGACGAUGACUGACGCUGAGGCUCGAAAGCGUGGGGAGCAGACAGGAUUAGAUACCCCAGUA